rnacentral:lncRNA from 1 species
AAAGGAAGCCCAGAAAGGUGUGGUUUCCUCUGUCUUCUGCUUGCAUAUACCACUGAUUUGUCAUUUCUCUUGUAUGCUCUGGUCUCAUCUAGUCCGGAGGCUGGGGGCUGAGGGGGGUGCAGGGGCUGGACGGCUUGGCGAUCCCUGCUGCAGGGGGAAAGUGAGCAACCGUCCCCACAGAGACUCUGGGUCCCGCAGCAGGGGCAGCGGGAUUACUGCCUUUGGCCCGGUCGGAGUUGGAGCCCCGCAGAGCCCGUUCCUCCCGAGACAUGGGGCUCUGGACAGCCGGCACAGGGACGAUGUCUGGCAGAGAGCACUAACCAAAACCUCCAGAGAGCAGCCACAGUUACCUCUUCCUUAGCCCGGGAUGGGCCCAAGGGGCUGGACUUCCGGUGGAUUCAGAUGCUGGGAAACUCAGCCAUCAGGCAGACUGGAUGCCACAGAUUGGUGGAAGACAAUCUUUCCACCUAUAUCCAGCUCCGGAAGAGGCCUCCGACACCCACGUCCCCUCGGCUUCUCUCCCCGAGUAGCUCGCCCACCCCCACGUGGAACUCUUUGUAGAGCCAAGCGGGAUGAGGUCUUUACUCUGUUAAUAGUAAGAAAUUCAUAAUUACCCCUGAAAGUUACCCAGAGGCCACUGCCCACCAGGUCCUUUGUGGGCCCCACGCCUCACGGCCUCCACUGCCCAUUUGUUUAGUGUCUCUCCAGAUGAUUAGAGCAACCCUUGAGUAAAUACUCAGAAAACUGAAAUACUCAGGCCAAAAAUCUAGCUAACAGCACACAAACACACACACAAACACACAUACCAGCAGACAUACUCACUCAUACACCCCCCCCAAACACGGUGAAAAUGUGCUUAUGCAAACAUACACCAACUAGCGUGACAAAAAUUGACAAAAGCAUGGAUGCAUGCACACAUGCUAACACACACACACCACACACCCCACCUCUAGGAAAAGCGGUCUAAAACUGAAGGCAAAUAGAAGGGGGACAAGUUAGGAAUAUGGAAAUCAAUGUGCGGGAAGUAUGAGCCAGCUCCAAUUUCCCCUUAGUGUCCCACCCUCACAAUUGGAUUGGGACCCUAUACCCUUUUGGAACCUGAAUUAGGAGGUGGCCA